rnacentral:rRNA from 1 species
CCUACGGGUGGCAGCAGUGAGGAAUAUUGGUCAAUGGACGAGAGUCUGAACCAGCCAAGUAGCGUGAAGGAUGACUGCUCUAUGGGUUGUAAACUUCUUUUAUAUGGGAAUAAAAUGUUCCACGUGUGGGAUUUUGUAUGUACCAUAUGAAUAAGGCUCGGCUAACUCCGUGCCAGCAGCCGCGGUAAUACGGAGGUUCCGAGCGUUAUCCGGAUUUAUUGGGCUUAAAGGGAGCGCAGGUGGAUUGUUAAGUCAGUUGUGAAAGUUUGCGGCUCAACCGUAAAAUUGCAGUUGAAACUGGGAGUCUAGAGUACAGUAGAGGCGGGCGGAAUUCGUGGUGUAGCGGUGAAAUGCUUAGAUAUCACGAAGAACUCCGGUUGCGAAGGCAGUUCACUGGACUGCAACUGACACUGAGGCUCGAAAGUGUGGGUAUCAAACAGGAUUAGAUACCCCAGUAGUC